UAACUGUAGCUAACGGGCUUAUCAGCAUGUGCGCGUCGCCCCCUAGCGGCCGGGAGCCAAAUCUUUCAUAAACUGUAUCAGUGGAUAUAGAAGUAACGAAACCACCGGUCGGUUUUGGUGCUGUAAAUCACAUUUCUGUCAGAAGAGGAAAGGGGGCGGGAUAAUUCAUUUUACCCAAAUCUGAUUGGCUCAUGGCAAUGUCAUGAUUCGUGGUAGCCAAUCAGAGCAAACGGAUGGAAGAACCCCGGAGAAUAGUCUAUGGCCUGCAUCGAGACUAAGCUUAUUUGGACACAAAGAUGCUGCUGGAGGGGGCGGAGAAAGGCGCAUAAGAUGAAGAUCGAUUCUGGCGUGUAACCAGAGGACCCUCCAAAAGAAACCAAAAUUCUUCCUGACCUGAUGACAGAGUUUUGGUUUUUGACUCCAAUAAACCCUUUCUGUUGGACUUACUGAGCUUUUCAUAGAAAGUUUGUCCCUCAAACAUGCGCUGGUACAUGCGGGCUCGCUCCUCUGCAGCGUCUGGGAUCAGACAGUUCCCCUGGUUCUGAAACUGACUCUGGGGGAAAAAACAAAGAAAGAAUUGAGACAAAAGCAGUUCCGUUGGUCAUGUUGAUUAGGGUUAGACGGCGUCUCACCUCCAGGUAAAAGCAGAUGGCGUAGGAGUCGUUCACUAUGUUGUCUCCAUGUUUGAAGGAAGGAAGCUGGAAGAAAAAAAAA